UACGUAGGAUGCAAGCGUUGUCCGGAUUUAUUGGGCGUAAAGAGUACGUAGGCGGUUUGUUAAGUCAGGGGUUAAAGACUGAGGCUCAACCUCAGGAGUGCCCUUGAUACUGGCAGGCUGGAGGACGGCAGAGAAAAGUGGAAUUCCCAGUGUAGCGGUGAAAUGCGUAGAUAUUGGGAGGAACACCAGUGGCGAAAGCGACUUUCUGGGCCGUUCCUGACGCUGAGGUACGAAAGCGUGGGGAGCAAACAGG
rnacentral:rRNA from 1 species